rnacentral:rRNA from 1 species
UACGUAGGGGGCAAGCGUUGUCCGGAUUUAUUGGGCGUAAAGAGCGUGUAGGCGGCCAGGUAGGUCUGCUGUGAAAACUCGAGGCUUAACCUCGAGCUGUCGGCGGAAACCACUUGGCUAGAGUCCGGAAGAGGAGAGUGGAAUUCCCGGUGUAGCGGUGAAAUGCGCAGAUAUCGGGAAGAACACCCGUGGCGAAGGCGGCAUCCUGGACCAACACUGACACUGAGGAGCGAAAGCCAGGGGAGCAAACGGG